AAARRAAAUUGAKGGGGAYYCWCACAAGCGGUGGAGKAUGUGGUUUAAUUMGAAGCAACGCGAAGAACCUUACCAGGUCUUGACAUCCUUAUGCCCGCUCUAGAGAUAGAGUUUUCCYUUCGGGGACAUAAGUGACAGGUGGUGCAUGGUUGUCGUCAGCUCGUGUCGUGAGAUGUUGGGUUAAGUCCCGCAACGAGCGCAACCCUUGAUYUUAGUUGCCAGCAUUCAGUUGGGCACUYUAAGGUGACUGCCGGUGACAAACCGGAGGAAGGUGGGGAUGACGUCAAAUCAUCAUGCCCCUUAUGACCUGGGCUACACACGUGCUACAAUGGAUGGUACAAAGGGCAGCAAAGCCGCAAGGCCAAGCRAAUCCCAUAAAACCAUUCUCAGUUCGGAUUGUAGGCUGCAACUCGCCUACAUGAAGCCGGAAUCGCUAGUAAUCGCGGAUCAGCAUGCCGCGGUGAAUACGUUCCCGGGUCUUGUACACACCGCCCGUCACACCACGAGAGUUAGCAACACCCGAAGUCGGUGAGGUAACCAUUUGGAGCCAGCCGCCGAAGGUGGGGCCAAUGAUUGGGGGAAGUCKAACAAGAGCRGRG
rnacentral:rRNA from 1 species